GAUGAACGCUGGCGGCGUGCCUAAUACAUGCAAGUCGAGCGAACAGACGAGGAGCUUGCUCCUCUGACGUUAGCGGCGGACGGGUGAGUAACACGUGGAUAACCUACCUAUAAGACUGGGAUAACUUCGGGAAACCGGAGCUAAUACCGGAUAAUAUAUUGAACCGCAUGGUUCAAUAGUGAAAGACGGUUUUGCUGUCACUUAUAGAUGGAUCCGCGCCGCAUUAGCUAGUUGGUAAGGUAACGGCUUACCAAGGCAACGAUGCGUAGCCGACCUGAGAGGGUGAUCGGCCACACUGGAACUGGGCCACGGUCCAGACUCCUACGGGAGGCAGCAGUAGGGAAUCUUCCGCAAUGGGCGAAAGCCUGACGGAGCAACGCCGCGUGAGUGAUGAAGGUCUUCGGAUCGUAAAACUCUGUUAUUAGGGAAGAACAAAUGUGUAAGUAACUAUGCGCGUCUUGACGGUACCUAAUCAGAAAGCCACGGCUAACUACGUG
rnacentral:rRNA from 1 species